CUGAUGAGCAGGUUGACAAUGAGAAACUGCAUGAAUGGAGCAGCUUCUAGCUCAGCCCUUCCCAAACUGGCCCACAUCUUCUUCUUUCAGGUUAAGAAUUGACUUUGCAAUUUGAAUCAAAGUUCCACAUAGAACUCCCUAUAGUGAGCAAAGCCAGUAGGGACCCGUUUUUCCAUUAAUUCCUUCAGGUUAUUCAAAAACCCGAAAUUAUUUACAGAGGA
rnacentral:sRNA from 2 species